CAAUAAAUGAGCAGCUUCCCUGACACUGAAGCAUGGGUAUAAAAAUUGAGAAGAAGCUAGUUUCAUUUGAAAUGACAAGAAAAGCCAUAUCAUUGACACAGAAAUCCCCUUAAUGGAGUUUUUAUCUCAGGUAAGCAGAGACACAAACUACAAAAUCUGCCAGAAGAGGAAUGGUUGAUGGUUUAAAAAUAUCUUGAUGAGAAUAUAAUACCCUGCACUGAGAAAACACCAUUUCACAUUAUACUCUACUGUGAAAUGUACAACUAAUACCCAUUAUGCUCCCUAAUUCUUAGUCUAACCAUAUAAAAAAUUCAAUGUCUUCUUUUCCAAUUAGUGGAAGAUUUUGACUUUAGGUAGCUCCUGGGUAUAGGUACUAGAGACAUAGGGUUGUGGAAAUAUUUUUUUAAAGGAAAAAAAAAUUUCUCCUUCUUCCUUCAUCCAGUUUCUUUUAUAGACAGGCAGCAUUACACCUAACACAUUCCAGUUAUACAAUGUUCUUUACCCAACCUCCCAGGAAUGAAAUCCAGGCUUCUUAUUGCUGAAACCUACCAGAAAUAUUAAUUCCCAACAUAUUUCCAUGUAUAAUACAUCUGGGAAGGCAAGUUACUCAUGGCCAUAAUAAAAUUUUGGCAGGAUUUUUACUAUCACACCAUUAGUGCUUACAAAUAGGGAGAACAUAUGUAUUAAUAAUUAGAGAACUCUCAUGUGAGAUGACAUCAUCUACAUAUGAACUGAAGUGUAUUCCCUUAUAAAAUGAAGCCAAAUAUUUUGCUGGCAGCAACCUAACUCAUUAAGAAUCCUAAAUCACAUUGCCUGAAAACUUAAAAAAAAGUUUUUCCAAAAGCUAGCAUACAGGUCAGCUUCAUUAGUUCUCAGAUUUGCUCAUAUUCCCUGUGGCGCUAUGCAGUGUGAGGGUGUUUUAAUACGCCACCAACAGGCCCAAGCUUCUGGUGCCCCAAGGAUGUGGUUUUUAUAUAUUUUGAAGUAUGUUUGGUGGUUUAAGAUUGAAGGUAUUUCGUAGGGUAGGAAGAGGUCAGGCUGCAAAUAUGGGGGAAAUUCCUAAAUAUAUAUCUCAUUAGAUGAUAAUAACAAAAUCAACCUGAUUGCUGUUCCAGAGUAGAUUUUAGACAGGACUAAUUUGGUAAUAUAGGGUAAAAUGCUUGAAUUUUACCAGUUUGCUCAAAUGUUGAUCAUACACCAAAAUUUGAGUGCCACCCACCUUCAAACCAUGGUAAAAAGAGAAUACCCUUAAACCAUAAUAGCUUAUGAAUCAAAAUUCAAUUAAUUGAUCCAGUCCAUCACUCAACCAGUAAAUUCCUGAGAUGCUUGUGUUUCCAUAGAGAGUUGGGUAAAGCACGUGAGAAGCAUACUGCAAUUAGUCAAAAGAUGUAGCUACAUUAUGUUGAGCAAGUUAUAGUGAACCUCUUCAUACAUCCUUUCUGCUGCUGUAAAAUGAAAAAAAUACCUCACAGGAUGAAAUGAGUGAAUGUAUAUAACCACGUUCCUCUAUUCUAAACCAGUUGUUGACCAGAAAUUUAGGCUUUGGGACCACUCAUUUUCCUUCCAAGAUGUUGACUCUUUUGUCAUCCCAUUUUCUUUCUACAGAAUUGCUAAUUAACAUUUCAUAUUUUAUUAACUCUACCUACUUCUGAUAGAUGCUUAAAAGUUAGUUCUUAGAAGGCUGUAUUAGUCUGUUCUCACACUGCUAAUAAAGACAUACUCAAGAGUGGAUAAUUUAUAAGGGAAAGAGGUUAUAUUGACUCAUAAUUCAGAAUGGCUGGGAGGCCUCGGGAAACUUACAGUCAUGGUGGAAGGGGAAGCAAACACAUCCUUCUUCACAUGGUGGCAGCAAGAAGAAUGAACAAAAGGGGGAAAAGCCCCUUAUAAAACCAUCAGAUCUCAUGAAAACUCACUCACUGUCAUGAGAACAGCAUGGAGGUAACUGGCCCCAUGAUUCAAUUACCUCCCACCAGGUCCCUUCCACGACUUGUGAGGAUUAUGGGAACUAUAAUUCAAGAUGAGAUUUAGGUGGGGAAACAGCCAAAUCAUAUCAUUCAGCUCCCAGCUCCUCCCAAAUUUCAUGUUCUCACAUUUCAAAACACAAUCAUGCCUUCCCAACAGUCCCCUAAAGUCUUAACUCAUUCCAGCAUUAACAGAAAAGUCCAAGUCCAAAGUCUCAUCUGAGACAAGGCAAGUCCCUUCUGCCUAAGAGGUUGUAAAAUCAUUAGGUGAUCAUUAGGUUACUUCCUAGAUACAAUGGAGUUAUAAGCACUGGGUAAAUACACUAGUUCCAAAUGGGAUAAAUUGUCCAAAACAAAGGGGCUACAGGCCCCAUGCAUGUCUGAAAUCCAACAGGGCAGUCAAACCUUAAAGCUCCAAAAUGAUCUACUUUGACUUCAUGUCUCCCAUCCAGGUCAUGCUGAUGCAAUAGAUGAGCUCAUAUGGCCUUAGACAGCUCUGCCACUGUGGCUUUGCAGGGUGCAGCCCUGCUCCUGGCUGCCUUCAUUGGCUGGCAUUGCAUGUAUGUGGCUUUUCCAGGAGCAUGGUGCAAGCUGUCAGUGGAGCUAUCAUUCUGGGGUCUGGAGGACAAUGCCCUCUUCUCACAGCUCCACUAGGCAGUUCCCCAGUGGGGACUCUGUGUGGGGACUCUGACUUCACAUUUCCCUUCAACACUUCCCUAGCAGAAGUUCUCCAUGAGGGCUCUGUCCCUGCAGCACACCUAUGCCUGGACAUCCAGUCAUUUUCAUACAUCCUCUGAAAUCUAGGCAGAGGUUCCCAAACCUUAAUUCUUGUCUUCUGUGCACCUGCAAAACCAACACCACAUGGAAGCUGCCAAGGCUUGAAGCUUGCACACUUUGAAGCCACGUCCCUAGCUAUACCUCGGAUCCUUUUAGCCAUGGCUGUAGUGGUUCACAUGCAGGGCACCAGGUCCUGAGGCUGCACACAGCAGGGGGUACCCUGGAACUGGACCAUGAAACCAUUUAUCCAUCCUAGGCCUCUGGGCCUGUCAUGGGAGGAACUGCUGUGAAGGUCUCUAAUAUGCCCUGGAGACAUUUUUCCCAUUGCCUUGGAGAUUAACACUUGGCUGCUCAUUACGUAUGAAAAUUUCUGCAGCCAGCUUGAAUUUUUUCUCAGAAAAUGGGUUUUCUUUUCUACUGCAUUGUCAAGCUGCAAAUUUUCCAAACUUUUAUGCUCUGUCACCUCUUAAAUGCUUUGCCGCUUAGAAAUUUUUUCCGCCAGAUACCCUAAAUCAUUUCUUUCAAGUUCAAAGUUCCACAGAUCUCUAGGGCAGGGCCAAAAUGGUGCCAGUCUCUUUGCAUAGCAAGAGUGACCUUUACUCCAGUUCCCAACAGGUUCCUCAUCUCCAUCUGAGAACACCUCAGCCUGGACUUUAUUGUCCAUAUCACUAUGAGCAUUUUUGUCAAAGCCAUUCAACAAGUCUCUAGGGAUUUCCAAACUGUCCUACAUUUUCCUAUCUUCUUCUGAUCCUUCUAAACUGUUUUAACCUCUGCCUAUUACCCAGUUCCAAAUUCACCUCCACAUUUUUGGGUAUCUUUACAGCAGCACCCCACUCCUGGUACCAAUUUACUAUAUUAGUUUGUUCUCAUGCUGCUAAUAAAGACAUGCUGAGACUGGUAAUUUAUAAAAGAGAGAUGUUUAAUUGUUUCACAGUUCAGCAUGGCUGGGGAGGCCUUAGGAAACUUACAAUCAUGGUGAGAGGGAAAACAGACAUGUCCUUCUUCACAUGGCAGCAGCAAGGAGAACAACGAGCAAAAGGGGGAAAAGCCCCUUAUGAAAACAUCAGAUCUCAUGAAAACUCACUCACUAUCACAAGAAUAGCAUAGAGGUAACCACCCCGAUGAUUCAAUUACCUCCCUCCAGGUCCCUCCGAUGACACAUGGGGAUUAUGGGAACUACAAUUCAAGAUGAGAUUUGGAUGGGGACACAGCCAAAUCAUAUUAGAGACUUCUCUAAAAACAGCCAUACUCUUUCUUUAUUUUUUACAUGUUUAAAAAAAUAACUUUUAAAAUACCUAUAGGAUGGUUUCCUCAUUCCUCUUUUAGAGUAUUUGGAAUUUAUUUAGCUAUAUAAGGGGCUUAAGCCCAAGCAAUGAAAACUAAUUGUAAGAAUGUAAUAGGCUAAUGAGAGAAUGAUUUGAGAUUAGAUGGGCUUUUCUAGUGAACAUAAAAUAAUUUUUAUGAAACUUAAAGUUAAAAAUACCUCUGAGUAUGAAAGGCAUGCAUGCUUAGCUGGUAUCUCAAAAGAAAGUUCUCCACAAGGAAGCAUUAUUUAGAUCUGUCCAAUAUACUUUCUGUGAUGACCGAUGUUCCAUAUUUGCUUUAUCUUAGUCCACUUGGACUUCUGUAAUGGAACACUGUAGACUGGGUAGCUUAAAAACAACAGAAACUUAUUUCUUAUUUUUCUGGAGGCUGGGAAGUCCAAGAUCAAGGUGAUAGUAGAUUUUGGGUGUGGGGUUGGCCCCCUUCAUGGUUCAUAGAUGGCCAUCUUCUCACUGUAUCCUCACAAGGUGGAAGGAGUGAGUAAGCUCCCUUGGGCUUCUUUUAUAAAGUCACUAAUUCCAUUCAUGAGAGCUCCACCCUCCUGACCUAAUCACUUCCCAAAGACCUCACCUCUGAACACCAUCACAUUGGGCAAAUGAAUUUGGAAGGGGACAUAAAUAUUCAGUGUGUAGCAAUCCUAUGCCAGUUAUUUAGGCAUUAAAUUAUAAUUUGGUUGUGUGUAUAUGCCUUAACUCCCUAACUUCAUUAUAAGUUCUUGAUAACAUAAUAUCAUCUUUUUUUUUCUAUUUUCUUUUUUAUUUUGAGAUGGAGUCUCACUCUGUCGCCCAGGCUUGAGUACAGUGGCAUGAUCUCGGCUCACUGCAACCUCCACCUCCGGGUUCAAGCAAUUCUUCUGUCUCAGCCUCCCGAGUAGCUGGGACCACAGGCAAGUACCACCACGCCUGGCUAAUUUUUUGUAUUUUUAGUAGAGACAGGGUUUCACCAUGUUAGCUAGGAUGGUCCCGAUCUCCUGACCUUGUGGUCCACCUGCCUCAGCCUCCCAAAGUGCUGGCAUUACAGGUGUGAGCCACUGCACCCAGCCCAACAUAAUGUCAUCUUUUAUUUUGCUUCUUACAGUGCCUACUAUUUUCCCAGACAUAUAGUUAUUCAACAUAUUUUUGUUCAGUAAAUGAGACUUUCCUUUUAAAAAGUCAAUUGGGUGAAAUCUAACCACUAAACACUAUUAUAUCAUUUUAAAAUCACUGUUUCAUUUACCUGUUUUCCAAUGCCUCCAUCUAAGGUAAGGAUAGCAGUGUUGCUGCCAAACAGCCUCAUGAUCCUUCUCAGCACAGCUAGCCAGGCAGUCAAUCUCAGUCAACCUAGGCUGCCCUCCUUGAUCCAAGCCAUGAAACCAACAUCAGAGCUACAAGUAAUGCAGUAAAGGCACAAAUAUAUUCCACAUUCUCUCAUUCAUAAAAAUAAUUUUAUUUAAAUUAUUAUUCUACUUAAACUAUAACCAACUUGCACUAUCUUGCCCCCUUCAGUUUUAGUCCCUCCAGAGUCAAACUUCCUGUAAGAAUUACGUACAUACACCCUGUCUCCACUUUGUCCCCUCCCAUUCUCUCAUCAACCCACACCAAUCUAGCUUCUUCUCCACUAAACCACUCAGUGGAUUUUUGGCAAGGUCCACCAAUAAUCUCCAGGGAACCAAAUCCAAUAGACAGAGUUCUGGCCUCAUCUCCCCGACCUCCCUGCAUUACUAGACACAGUUGACCAUUCUCUACUACUUGAAACAGUUUCUUUUGAUUUCUAUGACACAUCUGUUUCCAGUUUCCCUUACACCAGGUGUAUUAGUCAGAGUUCUACAGAGAAAGAGAACAAGUAGGAUUUAUAUACAUAAAUUGAGAGUCACAGGGAUUCAUUAUUAGAAAUUGGUUCACAUGAUUGUGGAGGCUGAGAAGUCUCAAAAUCUGCAAGCAGGAAACCCAGGAGAGCCCAUGGUAUAAUUCUAGUCUGCUUCUGAAAGCCUGAGAAUCAGGGGAAACAGUGGUGUAAAUUCCAGUCUGAGUUCAAAGGCAGGAGAAGACAAAUGUGUUAGCUUGAAGACAGCCAAGGAGAGAGAAUGACUUGUCUCUUGCUCAGCCUUUUGUUCUAUUCAGGGCUCCAACAAAUUGGAUGAGGCCCACCUACACUGGAGAAUGGCAAUCUGUGUUAUUAAGUAUACCGGUUUAAAUUUAAUCUCAUCCAGAAACACCCACACAGACACACCCAAAAUAAUGUUGAACCAACUAUCUUGGUACCCUGUGGCCCAGUUAAGUUGACACAUAGAUUUAGUCAUCACAUCACUCCAGCUACUCCAUCUCAGUUACCAGUUCCUCAUUUAUGGGUGUUAGUGUCACUCAGGGCUUAGUCCUGUAAACCAAAAAGUAUCUGAGACAGGCCUCCAUCACUUUAAAAUUUAAUUUUGCCAAAGUUAAGGACCUACCUAAAAAUAAUAAAUGCAGAGUCACAGAAACAGUCUGUAGUAUGUGCCUUUCUCCAAAGACGAUUAUGAGGGCUUCAGUGUUUAAUAGAGAAAAGCAGGCUGGAGGGGAAACAAGGAAGGAAUGGUAAUCCACAUGUUCAAAGAGAAAAGGGGCAGGUAGGGGAAUAGACAAUUAUGUAUUCCUCUCAUGCUCAGUAAAUCAGCACUUACAUAUGAUAAGGUGAACAUAGAGCAGCUAUCUGUGGAGAUAUUUCACCUUUUAUCUGUAGCUAUCUGCUUACGAACAAAAGGAAGGCAGCUUCUUGCAUGACUCAGCUUCCAGCUUAAUUUUUUUCUUUUGGCAUAGUGAAUUGGCAUCCCAAGUUUUUAUUUUCCUUUCAUCAUCCUGGGCCCUCUUCUCUUAUUCACUCUCUCCCUGACAACAUGUAUAUGACAGAUGUAUAUGUAUAUGUAUACAUGUGAAUAAAUACAAACACAUAUGCAUACCUGGACACACAUAGCUUACAUUAUCUAUAUAAUGAAAUUUCACUAUAUAAAUUUUACAUAUAUAUGUAUGAUUAUAGAUAUAGAUAUAAUUUUGGUAUAUGUAUACAUGAAAUAUAUAAAAUAUAUGUGUAUAUUUCACAUACACAUAUACCAAAAUUAUAUAUACAUACAUAUAGUGGAAUAGAAAAUAUCAAAAAGAAUUACACAGACUCAUAAACUAUUAUUGUGUGAAGCUGUUAAUUUCAGUAUGUGUGUUUAUACUGAAUAUGUGAAUUUCACACUGAAUAUGUGAAUUUCAGUAUACACAUAUACUGAAAUUAGCAGCUUCCCACAAUAAUCGUUUAUGAGUCUAUAUAAUUUUUGAUAUUUUCUGUUCCCCUACACUAUAUUCACUUCUACUCACUUUUUAAAAAAUUUUAGUCUUAACUCACAAAAAUGAUGUAAUAUCACUAAUGGAUUGUGACUCACAGUUCUAAAAACACUGUUUUUCUCGUGACUUUAAACAACGUCUAUAGGCUGAGGAUUCCUAAAUUUAUCUCUCCUCUCAGCUACAGGCGUGUAAAUCCAACUGCCAGUUUGCCACAUUGUAAGAAAAUCAAAUGUGACCUCAUAAAAACUGAGGUCUCCAUUUUGCCCACAAAUCUUUACUUAGCAAAUGACACUAUCUUGCACCCAGUCAAUGGAGCCUGAAAACUCUGUGUUGUCCUCAAUCCCUCUCACCUUGGUUCCCACCCUCCCACCCUCACUCACACAGAAGCAACCUAUGAUUAGGUCUGGUCAAUUCUACACAGGAUCUAAGACAACAAUUAGGAUCGUUGUGACAACUGGGUUCUGAUGCCAAACUGUAACUUUUUACCUGGAGUUAUGUGAGGCCAUCCUCACUUCAGUGUCUUGGGACAGCUGUUUAGUACGAAGUCUGUCAGGGAAGUCCUGCCCAACUUUCUUGUAGGUCAGGAGUUAAUAUGUUCCUCUCUCCAUAAAGCCCCCGAGUCUGUUUCUGCUACCAUUCUCUCUGGAGGGAUGAAGAAAUUCAACUGAGAACUCUACUGACUUGUAGUCCUCCAAGCCUGUGCGUUUAACUCAUUCCUUCCUUCCCAGUUCUGAAACUGGGCUUCAGUCAGUAUAAUAGUUUGGUUGUUUUAAGAAAGAGAGGCUACAGUGUCUCACCCCGAAUCUGCAUCUAAUAAAUAAUUCACUGAGCGGCAAUGCACUCAAAGACCAAUUCUUCAAAAAAUCAAUUUUCCAUAUUUACAUAUAUAUGUGUGUGUGUGUAUAUACAUAUAUAUAUAUAUAUAUAUUUUUUUUUUUUUUGAGACUGAGUUUUGCUUUUGUUGCUCAGGCUAGUGUGCAGUGGUGCAAUCUUGGCUCACUGCAACCUCCGCCUCCCGUGUUCAAGCGAUUCUCCUGGCUCAGCCUCCUGAGUAGUUGGGAUUACAGGCAUCCGCCACCAUGCCUAGCUAAUUUUUUGCAGUUUUAGUAGAGAUGGGGUUUCGUCAUGUUGGCCAGGCUGGUCUGGAACUCCUGACCUUAGGUGAUCCAGUUGCCUCGGCCUCUGAAAGUUCUGGGAUUCCAGGCAUGAACCACUGUGCCCGGCCAUUUUAAUUCUUUAUACUGCUUAUAAUAUUUAAUAUCAACUAGACUGGCAGGGUCUAGGAGAAUUGUGGGAAGCCAUGGCUGCAGGGUUUUGGAGUCUUUACACUGUCUCUCUGUCUCAGUCCUACUCUACCCUAGGGCUCCUCCUUUCCUGCGACUGGCAGCCUUCAUCUUUUCACCAGCGGGAAGUUCCUUCGCUUUGCCCAGCUUCCAAUAACUGAGGCAGCAGGGAGUCCGAACAGAUGCAAAUUGAACAUUCUUUUAAAAGUUGUUAGAAGCAGACCAAACUAAUCUAGAGAGAUAGAGGUCAGAGAGAGGUCUGAGAUGGUUAAGGAAAGGGAGAGGGUCUUCAGAUGCUGAAAAUAUUCUAGAUCUUGAUCUGGUUCAACAGGCAUAUAUAUAUAUAUGUAUGUUAAAAUCCAUUGAAUAUACCCUUAGCAUUUAUGCAUUUUGCUGUGUUCAUGUUAUACCUCAAUAUGCAAUAAAAAUACCAAAAUCCAUGAAAAAUGUUACAAAUAUUGCAUGUCAUACUAAUUGUUAUAAACUUUCUAAAUAGUUAAAAGGAUUAUUUUUAUUAAUUUGAUAAAUUUGGUCAUUACACACACAGCAAAACCUGAACCCUAAAAAUGUCAAAAUACAAGACAAAACGUGAUUUCAAAAGAAUUGUGAAAAAGAAGAGAUUGAGACUGAAAACUUCAAAACAAAAUUUGAAAUGUUUGACUUGGAAAUGUUUGACAUCCCAAGCUGAAACUUGGGAUGUUUCCUUAAGAAUAAUAUGUUUAAUGUAUUCAAAAAUAGUUUCACGGAUAUAUUUAAAGGAAGAAUAUAUACAUAAUAAGACUAAAGUACCCUUAGAUUUUAACAAAUUAAAAAUCUCUUAAAAUUUUGCUAACUAUAAUGUAUUCCUAUAAUAUUUUCAUUGAAUAUAUUCAAGAAAAAUGCAUUCAUUAACACAUUCAUAAGGAUAUAUUCCUAUCCGUUGCAUACAUUUAAGAAAAUUAUUCUCUUUUAAAAUGUUUUAUGAGGUUAUUUUUGUAUAUUCAAACAAUUGUCAUUCAACCAGUGGAUGCUUCAGCAAAUUGUUUUUUGGAGAAUUGCUUUUUAAGGAAUUGAUCUGUUUUUGGUUUAGAGGUAAGACUGAUUUUUUUUUUUUUUUUUGAGACAGGGUCUCACUCUGUCACCCAGGCUGGAGUGCAGUGGCACCUUCAUAACUCACUGCAGCCUUGACCCUUUUAGGCUCAAUCAAUCCUCCCACCUCAGCCUCCUAAGUAGCUGGGACUACAGGUGUGCGGCACCACACCAGCUAAUUUUUGUAUUUUUUGUAGAGACGGAGUUUUCCCAUGUUGCUCAGGCUGGUCUCAAACUCCUAGACUCAAGCAAUCUGCCCACUUCAGCCAAACAAAGUGCUGGGAUUACAGGCCUAAGCUGCUGCACCUGGCAAGACUGAUUUUUAAAGCCAGAAACUACUAUGGUUGAGCAAAAAUUAAAGCCAUAUUAGAUUAAGUCCUGCACUCAGCCCUCACAUCGGAUUCUAGUCACUGACCAUUGAUCAGCUCCCUCGUCAGACACGAGCCACAAUUUGUCUUCAGAUAGCAGCACUCUCAGAUCUACAGAAGCACCAGGAACCCCUCGGUGGUGUUCUCACGGCUCGAAUUUACCUUGCAAAUCUUGGAAGUAACCUAAACACAUUCUGUUCCUUCUAGAAAAUGUCAAUCCUGAAGUUUAAAUAAUCACCUGAACCCUUUCUACUCUGUUCAUUCCCAUAUUGUUCUCUGAGCCCUACCAGAUUUCUUGCAUUCCUAGCAGAAACAAUGGAGUGCAAAUGAAUCAAUGAUUCUACCCAUGUGUUUAAAGAAAUAGUCAAAACAUAGAGGCUUCUCCCUUCCACUCUGCCAGCUCCCCCCUCUCCCUACCCUACCACUGGCAGAGGCAGGAGAUUUUUCUUUCCUUGCUGCACAGUUGCAAGAGCAAAAUGCCGUAUAAAGUAAGCACUGGAAAGCCCUAAGUGUGGUAUUUAUUAUGGGUUACAUUGUUGGGUCUGCAUCAUAUCUACUAUGAUGCUUCUUGAAAGUACAAUGGAAUCUAGGGGGAAAAAUCAUUGAAGGUGUAUAUAAACAUAUUUUCUCUUAGCAUUUAUUAAAUUCAUACUACAUGCCAGAAACUACUAAGGAUGAGGGAUCCCAAUAGGGAUAAGAAAAAUUAUCUGCAUCUAAAGAAACCAGAUAAAGGCACAGGUAAUUAAAAUAAGUAUAAUAAUAAAUAUAGGAUUAUAGGAGACAGAAUAAUUAAUUUUGGUAUGUUGGAGUAAGAAUAACAAAAAUUAUUCAGUAUUUGAACUGUACCUUGAAGAUAGGAUAGAAAUUGCAUGAAUUUUCAUAUUAAUACAUGUAACUAAUCUGUAAAAUGAUAUGUCUCAAUUUUCUUAAACUAUAUAUUUACACAUGUAGUACUUAAAUAUAUAUGUUUAAAUAGAAAAAAAAACUUAAAACUACAGUACUCCUGAGAAUGCACUGAAGAGAAGAUUUUAAGGAUAGAAGUAAAUUCAAGUAAAAAGCCAAGGCACCAGGACUCACAUUUGUUAUACUAAAGAGGUUUGUCUACUGCCCUUCAUGGCACAAAAAGAAAUAUUGACCAGAGGAUCUGUUGUACAGGACACUGGCCAAGGAGGUAGGUGACAUCUAUUCUCAGCUCUAUAACAAAUGUGCUCACUGACCUUGGGUAAAUCUCUUGACUUUCUUUUGUUCUCUGAUUCUCUGUCUGUUCCAUUGACACUCAGUUUAUUUUCUUUACGGGUAGCCAGCAUCAUGGAUGUAUCUUCAAAGUGCUCUCAUUUCUUAAUCAAAAUGAAAAACACACAUUCAAAUGCUUUUGCCCAGAGUUGCAUACCAAGUUCGAGAGACUCUAAGUCUGUGAAAUAAAAAUAGUUUCACUAAAGGAUAACUAGUGCAAUCAGAAUAGAUUCAAAAAUUCCAUGAUGAAACCUGUAGGAAGAUUGACUUUUAAGUGAUGAAUUUGGAUACUCCUUGUUUUAAGAGCAAGAGUCUUCAAAGGGAACAAAACUUUAGAAAAAAAGAGAAAAAGAAUGGAUAGGUAUAAAAAGGUAGUGAAUAGAGCAGCCAAGAUAGGUAUACAGGAAAUGCAAAUGUAAUACACAAGGGCCAGCUCUUGUUCACAUGAGAGCCAGGUGGAGCAGAAGAAAAUCUUGAGCUGUGAUGCAAGUGCAAUGACAGCCUUGUCUGACCGCACUGGGUGCCCUGCAGCUACAAUGACUCAUCAGAGUUGCCCCAUGUUGAACCAAAAUGCCCUUGAGAUAUAAAUAUCCUUAAAGUACAAAGGGAAAUUACCCCAGGCUAUAUCGAUAUGGUGCAAGUAUUUUUAUGGCAAACAUUCUCUGGGUGUUUUCCUUACCAUGAACUUGUAUAUGAUCACUCAUAUGCCCUCUGCAUGUGGCUGAUCCAUCCUCAUUCCUAGCUUUAGCUACAAUUAGAGUAAUAAAUUGGCAUUCUUAACAAUAAACUCAGUUUCUUGUGAGUCUAAAGAACUGUGUAAGCUGAUGGAAAUGUUUCUGUGCCUAUGUUCAGAAGACUACCACUGCUGGGCUAUGUUAAAGGGAACACCCCCACCACCCUUCCUGGGUUCAUACAGCAGCCUUCAUCACCCCAGUUAGCCAGGGACAGAUGAGGCAGGAGAUACUCUAGAGCUCUGUCUUUAACCAUGACUAUAUUUAGGAUCUAUACCAUAUAUCUACACCUGCACAGGUCCAGAUCUGGGUCUAUGGCUGUCUCUCUGUCUGCCUACUUAUCUACCUGUCAUCCUUCUUGAAACACUUGCAUUAAAAGUGAUGGCAAAGCUUAGAUGCAGAUUCACGAUGGCAAGUUAUCUUAGAGUGUGACUUCUUUUUUUAGAAGGGGCCCAGAAUCACUCAUAGUCUUAUAAUUACAAAAAGAAUAUUCACUUAGUACUGUUGGGCAAGCUAAAAUGAGGGUACAGUAAUCCAAAUGUGUAUGACUCAGACUGUAUCAUUAAGUAUUUCUGAUGUCAUGUAAGGCCCCUUAGAGAGAGAAUAAGCAUAGUUGAGGGAGAUGGGAUUUUCAAGCUGCAGCUAGUCUGCAGGAGGUGAGAAAGCAGAUGGAAACAGUGUAAGUGAAGAGGCUGAGCACUGGAGAAUGAAAGGACAGCCAGCAGAGGUGACAUGUGGUCAGAAUGACAGAUAUAGACAGUUCCCAGACACUGAGGUCUUGCUGUCUUGCAUGUGGGCACUCUUCAGGGACUAGACAUAAGGAUUUUGCUCACUUUACUUCAUCCUUCUUCUACUAUACUGUGGUUCAAUCUGACAGAUUGGAGAGAUGAGUGUGAAAGUAGAACAAGAAUAUAUUGAUUACAUAUUGCAUGACUUGCUAUAUUUUAAGGAACAGCAAAUAUACUGAAUAGAAUUAUUGAUUCUAAUUUUUAAUGCAAUCAAUAUUAUGUGGAUAAAGGGAUUCUAUGUGCUGACAAGAUGCUAAGGCUGUUAUAGAACACUGCUUAAAAUAAAUCCUGAAGAGUAAGCAUUAAUGUAAGAAAGCACUAGCAUAUACCCUACAGAAAAUAAAUAAUAACAAUUACUGUUAUCCCACAUUUUACAGGUGAGGAAAUAAGGCUUAGAGGGAUUACACAGCUUGCCCAAGAUCUCACUUCUGAUAAAAAACAAAUUUUGUUCUCUUGAUUUACGCUCUUAAUCAUUAUGUUCAAAUCUAUUCAAUAAACUUAUCACAAAGGAAAUAUUUUAGCCAAAAAUACAAUUGAAAUGCGGAGAUCCACAAAGAAAGAAAUGGCUUCAGAAUCUUGUUUUCAGCAUCCUUUCUCAUCCCUACUUGCAUGGUCCCAGCACGUAAGAACAGAACAAAGGAAUCUAAUCUAUUAGAAAGUUCCCAAGAAAACUGCCAUUUGUCUUCUAUCCUAUGACUUAAUAGUUAAUGGUGUUAACAGAGUCAUUAAUUAAAAACAAUAUUUUAUGUGGUCAUUUUCAAUUCUCAAAAUGUUUUCACAGACAUUAUCUCUUCUUUCACCUAUUUAUGUUUAAAUCCUACAAAGCUUAUUAGUUCAACUCUAUCUGCAUGAUUCUAAAUAUUGGGUAAAAUGCCUAGGAUGAGAGGAAGUGUGAAAAUUAGUCAUUCAAUCAUAGCUAGAUGCUUUGCAUCCUGUAUCCACAUACAUAUGAUUGACUGAUUUUUCCCAUUCUUUGAGGAUGUUUUGUUAUAUGCCUCAAUCUAACCUUUAAAAAAACUUGAAAAUAUAUUCAAUAUUUCUCAUCUGGCAGGUUUCCCAGAUAUUUCAAAUAUAUUUUAUUUACUAGCAUCAGAAGUUAAAGUAGGGUGGUUCUCAGUGCUAUACCAUUCAAUCACUUCUUUUUUUUUUUUUUAUCUAUUCCUACCUGCUUUUUGAAAAACUCAUUUAUUCAUCUGCCCAGAUUCAUAUCAAUAAAGACACAUACAUAGAAAUACACACACACACACACACACACAUGUCUAUUUUCCAAAUAUAUGAAAUAAAGUUUGUGUUGGUGUAGUCCAUAUGAUUCAUUGAUAAAUAUUCAUAUAGAAAUCAUGAGCCCUGAUUUGUUAAAUAUAAAAUCUAUAAUUGACAUACUAUUUGAUUAAUUAACACAAUUCAUUUUAUCACUAUGCCAUUAAACAUAUAUUGUUUUUUAUCAUCAGUAUUGCAAAAUCAAGUGGCUAGAAAUUAGAUAAAGGAUAUCACCUGUCCCCAGCUUUCAAUAAGAUGACUCUUAAUCCCUCUGUUUCCACCAAUUUGAGCAUUUCAAAAAUUAUUUUUCUCAUGUCUUGUAAGGCCAUUCAUGAAAAUUAAAGCUGCUUAUGUUACUAUGCAACUGCAGAAUUAAGUGUUUUAAAGCAUUGGAAAAAUACUCAUGUUUAAUAAACUGUUAUGCAUCCUUUCAUAUUGUCUCUACUCUUGUGGUUGACAUAGAGUUAUGACAUCCACAGUUUCUCUGUACCCUGAUUCUCAGGGGAAUCAGAGCUAAGUGUGGCCUCCAUUAGCAUAUACUACUCUUCUUGAUACUGAUCUUAGGCUGGGUGCUUUGGGGACAUAUCCUCUACUAUUUUUUACUGAGCUCCUAUGUUUUAUAUUAUAAAAGCAAGUGGUUCGAAAUUUUUUUAAAGGUUCCAAUAUCUCAAGAGUGAAUUUCUGUCUCAAUUCAUCCCUAAUACAUAUAAAAAUUCUGAAUUUCCACAGAAUUCCAAAUUCCUUAAUGAAUUAUCUUUCCAUCCUUGAAUGCAGGAUCUAUGCAUCCUGGGUGUUUCCUUCACAGCUGUGGCCAUGGAUGCCAUGACCAUCUCCACUGGAGUCCCUGGAAGUUUACACAGCAGUACGGUCCUAUGAGCUAUUCUCACAGAGUGCUUUUCGGAGACAAAAUAUCUACCUGAACAUAAGGGUGGCAUCUGAUGCUCUUGCAAUAAGUUAAUGGCUCAAGAAAUGCUCAUGUCAGAAAGAUUCCCCAAAUAUUCACUAUUCAACCACCUCUGUGGCCUUGCAGUUCACCUCAAGAAAUGGCAUCAUCACAGUUAGUCAGACCAUCCUUUAAGUUAUAUUACAACCUUGAAGAUCAAGACUUUUGAUUGUAAGAAAAUUACAUUUCAAAUGGAAAAAUGGAAGAAUAUACAACAGAAAGCAAAAAUCAUACAUCAUGAAGGGAUCUCACAAAUAACCCACUGAGAAAAUAAUUGGUCUUAGAGAAGGCUUGAAGGACAUCAAAUAUUUCAAAAAAAAUUUAGCCAAUGACUCUUUUAUUGACAAAAAUUACAAAACAAACACUAUUACUAUUCCAACAAUUUUGAAAAAUUUGUAAGACUGAACUGCAUAGCAUCAUUGCUAAGAGACAAGAGUUCCUAAUUUUAAAGAGUUUCACUGUGUGCCUAAGUUUACUAAUUAUUUCACCAGCCAAUUACACAAACUAACAAUUCAAGAGAUUAUAAAAUCAAUGUAAGAUGAGAAAGGGAAGGAAAAAAUGGUGUUUGUAAAAAUAUACACAAUUAUUCAUAAAGGACACAUUGGCUAUUUUCAGUAGAACAUUAAAUACAUUUCUUUUGCUUAUUGUAAAAAACUUAGUUUAAAACAUCUGCCACUUUGCAUGAACCCAGGAGGUGGAGGUUGCAGUGAGCCGAGAUCGCGCCAGUGCAGUCCAGCCUGGGUGACAGAGUGAGACUCCAUCUCAAAAACAAACAAACAAAAAAAUCUGCCAGUUUGUUUUAUUUGUUAUGUGUUUUCACAUGCUAUUGUUAAAACAAAACCUAUCUAAUUGUUUAUAGACUUUGCAAUUUCAUUCUCAUUAACUCUGUAUUAUAGUAUGAGCAGUUUUUAUAUUAUCGGAUAUAUAUAAUCAUCCUUCAGUACCUCUGGGGGACUUUGAGACCUCCUGUGGAUACCACAAUCCACAGAUGCUCAAUUCUCUGAUGUAAAUAUAUAUAUGUAUACAUGAAUAGUUUUUGCAUAUAACCUGCACACACUCUCCCAUAUACUUUAAAUCAUCUUUACAUUACUAAUAAUAACUAAUAUGAUAUAAAGCCUAUGAAGUAGUUGUUACACAGUAUUGUUUAGGGAAUAAAAAUAAGAAAAAAAAUCUGUAUAUGUUCAGUGCCAACGCAAUUUUUUCGAAUAUUUCCCAUCUAAAUUUUGUCGAAUCUGCAGAUGCAGAACCCACCAUUGACUGUACCCAGAAAUAAGCAGGCAAAGGCAAACUGGCAGAAAUGAGCAACUUGGGCAUGACUGUCCAGCUCAUCCCUUAGGCAGUUGAGUAUGUUUUUGUACUAAUUUGUUCCAGGGCAUCUUUAAGUGUUAGCCCCAUAUAAUCCUGGCUUUAGAAAAUUCUUGUAUACCCACUGUCAAGUGCUAAAUUAGGGGGAACAUACAGCUAGAGGAAUCAGACAGACCUGGGUUUAUAUUCCAACUCUGCCACCAAAGGUCAAUCUAAACAAAUCAUUUGAUGUUGGGAGGCCCAGCACCCUUAUUUGUAAGAACAAUUAACAGUGCCUAGCUGGGAGGGGUGUUGUGGAAUCAAGUUAGUGUACUGCCACAUCUAGCUGUAGUGUCUCUCACAGACAUGGUGCCCAAUAAAUGGUAGACUGUGGCAGUAAACAUCGAAACAGGUUGUUCUACCAAGUUUACCUAGUUCCUUCAUUCUAACUUCCCAAAUGGUUAUCUAAAAUAAACAAUUCUUCACCAGUCUCCUCUUGGCUUAGUCUCUUCCUUUUUAAAUGAAUGAUAUUAUAUGGGGGUUCCACACAUGCAUGGCCUGUGAACAAAUGAAUAAAUAGAAAUGCUGUUACUCUUACAUUGAUCUGAGUUUUUAGUAUCCCCUUUCUCGAGUUCUUUGCCUCUAGCUUUCUGUAUCACUCUACUCACCAUCUUGUUUGGUUAUUCUUUACCCAUUUAGAUAAAAAAACAAGUCUGCGUUCUUAUUUGAGUCACCCAUUACUAAAUUAUUUAUGCAUAUUUCUUGUAAGUGCAAGAAAAUGUCUUUAUUAGGUGUUAAUUAUUUUAAAAAUAGUUAUUGUUAUCCUCAAUGAUUUCUUGGUUAUGUUAGGGUCUUUCAGCAAUGAGAUGAUAUAUGCAAACUAUCCAAGAAAGCAUGACACAGAUUAGAAACUCAGGUGACAGUGAGUUGGUCCCGUCUCAUGCUCCCAUCCUACUCUACUAAAUGAAUUCUUACUCUGUACUAUAUUUUCUUUUCGGCUGAUAUUUCCUCCAAUAGAUCGUGAGUUCUCCCAGGGCAGGGUCUUUGCAUUUAAAGAGCCCAGAACAGAAUCUAGCUCAUAUUAGGCUUUCAAUACAAAUUUGUUGAAAAAAAUCAAAUGUUUUACCAAUAUUUUAAUUACUAUCCCUUUACUAAUUUUACAAAAAAAAAAAAAAAAAAAAAAAAACAACCAAAAACAAGAGGAAGAAAACUCACUUCUGCCUCUCAUCAGAUUUCUAAAUAGCUAAGCUGACUAAUUCUACAUUUGGCUGUUUACACUAAAUUGAUGAAUCCCAUUCAUACAAAGAGGUAAAACAAGAUAUUCAUGCUUGGUCUAAAAUACUCCACUUAAUCAAUGUAAAGGAGUGGUCACCUGGCCAUGUCCAGCCUGAAAGAAAAUUCAUUUAUUGUUAUUUUAGUCAAGUUCAAAGCCCUAGGAUUCAAGACUCUCUGUAUUCUGUCAGCAGAGGUAAUUGCCCACUAAAGCCAGCAUUCCUACUGAGCUGCCUUUAGUGAUGCCAACAGUGAAACUGGGGGAGUCAGCGCUUCCCAACUGAACUAGUUCAGAGAACUUAGGUAAAAAAUUAAUUUAGAGAAUCCUCAGUGAGCUGAAAUAAACCAGGCAGAGUUAGGAGAUCUAUCCCUUUGGCAAGGAAGCAAAGAGCCUCUGCCUUUUCACCUAGGUCCAAGCUUCCACACCAAAUAGAAUCCCUGUAUAAAAAAUCAAAUUUUGACCUAAUGCAUCAAAUAUUCCAGUAACACUAGAGCUGAUUAUCACCUAGCAACAGUGUGCACUGCAAAAUAAAUUACCAAACAGGCUGUUCUUGGGGAUCCAUUCCCUACUUACAAUGCCAAAUAGCAUAUUUAAAUGUAUUUAAAUAAAGCUCAUUCUAGAAUGAAUUUAAGUACUGUACAAAAAGGCUAUUUCUGUGAUGACUGGCAGAUGGACAGUUGUAACAAUGCUUUACAAAUUUGUUUCCUUGCCCAUAAAAAUUUUGUUCAAUGACACUUUCUGAUGAACCAUUAUCAUAACUACUUCCUGACUAUGUCAGAAUUGGUCUCUGUAACGAAGACAAUGUUUUCUUUCCUUCUCCUGAUUUUAUUUAUUGCAAAUGACAUAUUGUCACAAUGGAAAGAACACUAUCCAAUUUCCCUUUAGGAAGAAAGAAAAAGAGUCCUUGUGGCAAGUUUACAUCAAGGUUUUCAAAAGGUCAUGGUGUGCAUUUUGUGGAUAACCUAAAGAAUCAAUUGUUAGAAGGUAGAGGAGAAGUGAUUAAUUACUUCUGUGGAAGGUGUGAAAUUGAGACAUGCCUCAGAGGAGGGCUAUGAGAAAGUAUCUUCCCUCCCACCACUUUGUAGAGUAAGUUGCAUUAAAAUAUUUCCUGAUAGGCAAGAAACGUUAUGAAAUAUAAAACUAAACUUCUCAAAUGUUCAUGAAGUGAAGCAGGAACUUAGCAUUUGUGAAUGUUCAUGCCCAGGAAAGGCAGUGUAUCCUUCAAACAAACAUUUAUUGAGCAUCUGCUGUGUGCUGAACAUCUUAGUCCCCAUGAACAUAUAACCUUGUGAGGAAUAUGCGAGCACAUACUGACAAUGAACUACACCAUUGGCAAUAAAAGAGGUACGUACGAGAGGCAAUGGAAUCACAGAGAAAUUAACGCUUCAGGUUGUCCAAAGUAAUUAGAAAAGAUAUUAUUGGAUUUUUGAUUCAGUACUUCUUUUUUUUCUCUGAAACCCUGACAAACAGCUCGGACUCAUAUCUGUAUAAUCCUUGCCACCACCAAAAUCAUUUUGCUGUACCCUACAUGCAGACCAAUUCUGUGCUGAGUAUCAGGGUAGAUUCUCCUCCCACCUCUUCUUUUCCUUGGGCUCACCAGUCCUCAUCAUGGAGUGACUAGAGGCUUAACUCUCUGAUUAACUUUAGGGCCUAAGAUGAAGGGCCAAGGAUGUCGCUAAGCUAUUUUUAGUGUAUGCCAGAGGCCAAGGCCAUCAGCGCAUCUUUGCCAUUCGUUUAUGGCCUAGCCCAGACCCUAGACAUUUGAGAUCAAACUAUUUUAUUUCUUCUUUCAAGAGAUAUUUAUUGAGCUCUACCAGUGCUGGGCUGUAUUCUAGGAGCUGAGGAUAAAGUAGUAAAACUAACAGAGAAAGCCCUUGCCUUCCUAGGAAAUUGAGGUGGAGAUAGGUGAAUUUAUUUGCUGAAAGUCAGAUUGAUGUCACUGGCAGAAUCAGCUUAGCCCCUCUACGUCUCUUAACUUACAGAAAUCAUAAAGGUAUUUUUCUACUGUUAUAGUUUUGCUACUUUCAAGUUGAUCUUGAACACUCAGGAUCCUGAAACUGUGUGUGUAUGUAUGUUUAUGUAUAUUUGUAUAUGAAGGAGAGAGAGAGCACACAAGCACAUGUGGUAUACACCCAGCUUCAUGGAUCCUGCCAGGCUUAUUCAAUUCAGCCCACUGCUGAUCAUAAUCUUAUGUAUGAGAUAGUCCAUGUCCUCAAUAAUGUUAUUUAGGUAAAUUUUAGAUAGUACCUUUAAACACAGUAAGUCCUUACUAAAUAGUUACAGAAUAAAUGAAUGGACACAUGAAAUGUGAAAUGCCUGGGUAACAAUUUACCAUGACUAUACUAAUUGUGCAGCAUCAUCCAUUAAGACAAACAAUUCACAAAUGGUGAAGAACCCCAGAAUGAGGAUGAUAUGAGAAAGUGAACCCUCUAAUUUGGAAAUGUUCUAUUUCCAAAACAGGCUCCCUUCUAGUUUUUCCACCAAUUAUUGAAUUGGCUUGGCAUAAAUUGAUAUUGUUCCCAAACCCAUUUUCAAAUUUAGCUAGAGUUUCUGAAAGGCUGCCAACGCUCAUUGUACACAGCAAGUGCACUCUCACCCCAAAUGCCUGGACUGCUGCACAGCAGGAGACUCAAUCACUUCAGCUGUUUAGCAAUCAAUGUGAAUUACUCUCUGCCAUCAGUGCUGAUUGCGAAAGUGGCUGAAAUGGCCGGGACUCACGCACACAUAUGCUCAGCCCAAAUUUGCAUAUAUUUUCCCUCUCAACGUGCCUCUCAAAGCUUCUUUGUUAUUAAUAAUUAGUCUUUAUUACAAUCUGAGAGAUUUCAUGUGAAAAAAUUUAUUCCACUUGCUAAAAUAAGUGCAAUAUUUUGAAUUUCUAAUAUACUCUCCGUGGCAUUUUUUUCCUCUCCUUGCCAUGGUUCUGGGGCUAAAUUAUUUCUGUGAUGUCUUAUUUCUCUUGGGCCUCCUUUACUCAUAAGCAGGCAAGCUUUAACUCAGACAUCCACAGUGUAUAUUCAAGCCACAGUGAAAAUUGUAUCUAAUUUAUUCUCUGAAAUGUAGAAAACAAUAUUGGGGAAGAAGCUAGAAAUCAAAAGGUAAUAAGGUUUGAAGAACAAUUCUGCCACGGCUGUCAGAAUGCUGAUAAAAGGCAGACUCUCUUGAUAAUCAGCCCUUUUAAAGUCAGAAGAAGGAAGAAGACAAAGGCCUAGUCCUCUACUUUGCUUUCCCAGUGACUGAAAGGAAACUCUAACAAAGAGUCAGACUGAGGCUUCAGUGCUCAGGAUGAAGGCCUGUGUCAUUUGUGAUAAAUCUCAUGCUUAAGUGUGAAGAAUUGGCACCCUCUUGCAGAUCAGAGCCAGAACCUCCACCAUCCCACACCCUCUCAAGGAUUUCCCUAAUGACUGCAGGGCCUCAUUGGAAGCAGGGGAAGAAUGCUUUUGAAAAAAUUUUCCUAUGGUGAAUAGUACUUGGAACAGCAUUUGUACUUUUGAUAAAACAUUGCACUAAAUAAUCUUUAUAAACCCAAGGAAUGUCCAUUUGUGCAGCAAUCAGUAGUAAAUUUUAAUUUUAUAUUAUUUAAUUUUAUUUGUUUUAUGCUUAAUGUUUUGAAUUAUAUGUUUAUUAUAUUUAUUGUAUGGUUAUUAACAAAUAUAUAUGUAUUUAUUUUUUUUAAUAGAGAAAAAGUAUUGCUGUAUUGGCCAGGCUGGUCUUGAACUCCUGGCCUUAAGAAAUCCUCCUGUCUUGGCC
rnacentral:lncRNA from 10 species